CUUUCUGGGCCCCCGUACGGAAGAACCUUUCAGGGCAUGGCUGCGCCUCUCGCCUGCAGGACAGAGGGCAGCGGGCUGCUCUUGGCGCAGCCUUCCUGGCAGCGGGGGCCGGCUCCUGCGUGUGCGCAUCGCAGUGCUCCGUGUUGCGCGUGAUGAGGUACAUCAGCCCAGCAGUUAUGAGCUCAAAGGACCAAAUGAGGAAGACACUUAAAAGUCUGACUCCAUUGGCCCUAAUUAAGAGCCACAAAUAUCCGAGGCAAUUAACAUAAUUCACAACGGGAGACAGGGGAUUGCGCCUUCCUUUCCGGAGAGUUCUCCUGCCUUCUGGUCCCCUGUCUUGAACUGAACUGGGCCAGACCAGACCAGACCCUUGUGCGU